AAUAGAUACCCGGGUAGUCCAUGCCGUAAACGUUGGGAACUAGAUGUAGGGCCUGUUCCACGGGUUCUGUGUCGUAGCUAACGCAUUAAGUUCCCCGCCUGGGGAGUACGGCCGCAAGGCUAAAACUCAAAGGAAUUGACGGGGGCCCGCACAAGCGGCGGAGCAUGCGGAUUAAUUCGAUGCAACGCGAAGAACCUUACCAAGGCUUGACAUAUAGCAGAACGCUCUAGAAAUAGAGAACUCUUUGGACACUGUUAUACAGGUGGUGCAUGGUUGUCGUCAGCUCGUGUCGUGAGAUGUUCGGUUAAGUCCGGCAACGAGCGCAACCCUCGUCCUAUGUUGCCAGCGCGUUAUGGCGGGAGCUCAUGGGAUACUGCCGUGGUCAACACGGAGGAAGUGGGGAUGACGUCAAAUCAUCAUGCCCCUUAUGUCUUGGGCUUCACGCAUGCUACAAUGGCCGGUACAAAGGGCUGCGAUACCGCGAGGUGGAGCGAAUCCCAAAAAGCCGGUCUCAGUUCGGAUUGGGGUCUG
rnacentral:rRNA from 1 species